AACGCGAAGAACCUUACCAGGUCUUGACAUCCGACUAACGAAGUAGAGAUACAUCAGGUGCCCUUCGGGGAAAGUCGAGACAGGUGGUGCAUGGUUGUCGUCAGCUCGUGUCGUGAGAUGUUGGGUUAAGUCCCGCAACGAGCGCAACCCUUGCUGUUAGUUGCUACGCAAGAGCACUCUAACAGGACUGCCGUUGACAAAACGGAGGAAGGUGGGGACGACGUCAAAUCAUCAUGCCCCUUAUGACCUGGGCUACACACGUACUACAAUGGCCGUCAACAGAGGGAAGCAAAGCCGCGAGGCAGAGCAAACCCCCAAAAACGGUCCCAGUUCGGAUUGUAGGCUGCAACCCGCCUACAUGAAGUUGGAAUUGCUAGUAAUCGCAGAUCAGAAUGCUGCGGUGAAUACGUUCCCGGGUCUUGUACACACCG
rnacentral:rRNA from 1 species